rnacentral:tRNA from 1 species
UGCCCUGUCGUCUAAAGGUAGGACGCGCGCCUUUGAAGCGAUGAGUCCACGUUCGAGUCGUGGCAGGGCAUCCA